rnacentral:tRNA from 1 species
GGAGUGGUAGUUCAGUUGGUUAAAAUCCCGGCCUUUCACGCCGGGGGUCGCGGGUUCAAGUCCCGUCCCCCCCGCCC